rnacentral:misc_RNA from 1 species
UGUGUGUGCAUGUAUUGUUGUUAGUUUUUGUUGUUCCUUCUUAAGUUUGUGCUGCAUUGUAAACCAGCUGAUCUGAUUUUCUCUCCUAUUUUUAUGUGAUUCCAGUUUACUGAAAUUAACUAUUAUUGAGUUUGAUUGUUUGGUGCAUUAGACAUUUACGCCUGCCUAUACAUAAUAUAUACAUUAGCAAGAUGGGAGUAUUUAAACAUUAAUGAAAUAGAUAAGUUAGUGCAACAUAUUUCUGGUUCAGAUGUAAAUGUGACCCGCCAAGGGAUCAAGUCAACUACUCAAUCGACUCUCUAAUUUUGUCAUCCUGAGUGGCUUUAAUGAUUACUAUAUCAUUCUCAAUGCAAAAACCUAAAAGAAAACUAACCAAAUGUAA